rnacentral:rRNA from 1 species
UACGAAGGGGGCUAGCGUUGUUCGGAAUCACUGGGCGUAAAGCGCACGCAGGCGGAUCGUUAAGUCAGGGGUGAAAUGCCGAGGCUCAACCUCGGAACUGCCUUUGAUACUGGCGAUCUUAGAGUCCGGGAGAGGUGAGUGGAACUCCGAGUGUAGAGGUGAAAUUCGUAGAUAUUCGGAAGAACACCAGUGGCGAAGGCGGCUCACUGGCCCGGUACUGACGCUGAGGCGCGAAAGCGUGGGGAGCAAACAGG